CGGACCCAAAAUUACUUGUUCAAGCAUUGUUUUCGAAUUUUUUCAUGCAUCAAAGCUCGUUAAGACUAGAUGGGGUAUCCCUACAUAGCGGGUGGGACCCACGGCGAAUGGUUCAUCAAGUCUUCAAAAAAGAAUAUAUACGAUUGCAUUGCAUAUACUAACGGAUGCGAUCAUACCAGCACUAAUGCACCGGAUCCCAUCAGAACUCCGCAGUUAAGCGUGCUUGGGCGAGAGUAGUACUAGGAUGGGUGACCUCCCGGGAAGUCCUCGUGUUGCAUCCCUCUUUUAUGUUUAACCUUUUUUUUUUUGGUUAAAACUUUAUGACUCCAUAACUUCUAGACAG
rnacentral:rRNA from 1 species